UUGGGUGGCUCGUCCAUUAAGGCUUGGGCUCGGCUCGCGAGUUCGAGCCCCACGCAUCCCGCCGCCUGCCGUCAGCCUGCACGGAGCCCCCAGGUUCUCUUUCUCCCUCUGUCCCCGCCCCUCCCUCCACUGGCGCGCAAGCGCUUUCACUAUCGUUCAGAAAUAAACAAAUAUGUACCCCAAAGUGUCCUUUACAAAUACUAAUGACACAACCAAGCCACCAUUGUAAUCCCGGUAGGUCUGAGGCUCUGCACAGCAGCGCGACACGCCAGGAGGCAGAGGCUCUCCUCCCUCUCCUUGUCCAGAAGGCUAGGCCACGGCUUGUCGUUCCCGUAGGGGCGUGAGUAGCCGCCAUAAUACGCGGUCGAGAAGGCAGAAAGGAAGAGACUGCCCCGUGGCGCCGAGGGCCGCUCUCGGGAGCGUGACCGCGAGCGGGAUCGGUAAGACUGGUUUCGCGACCCUUGGCCGAAGCCACCUAGCUGAUGGCUGAUACCAUUCCCGGAGCACGAGUGCGAGCUCGAGCUCGAGCGAGAGUUGCGGCCUCGCGGGGAGCGGGCGGAUUUGCUGAGCUUGGGGCUCUUCGACAAACUGCGACGCUUCCCCCCAGAGCCCGAGGCUUCCCCCUCCCGGCUGUGCGAACUCGACACCGGAGCCAUCGCGGCUGCCGGGCCCUCCGAGCCGCCGGAUCCCCUCAGCCGCUAGAAUAGGGGGCGCUCUCGCGAGCAGAGGGAACGCUCGAUUGCUUAGGAUCCCGGAGCCCGCCGUCGCGCCACCACCGAAUAGGAGGAAACUUUGAAAACAGUUCCGGGUACGUCGGCAAAUCCCUUCCCCCGACCUAGGUGGUCCGGCCGUCGGGACAGGAUGUGUGUACAGGUUCUCUAUGGAAACCAAAUGUGGGGACGCCCAGGUGGUUCAGUCGUUUGACCAUUAAACUCCUGAUUUUGGCUCCGGUCCGGAUCCAAGGCUCGUGGGAUCC